rnacentral:rRNA from 1 species
GCAUGGUUCAAACAUAAAGGUGGCUUCGGCUACCACUUACAGAUGGACCCGCGGCGCAUUAGCUAGUUGGUGAGGUAACGGCUCACCAAGGCAACGAUGCGUAGCCGACGUGAGAGGGUGAUCGGCCACACUGGGAGUGAGACACGGCCCAGACUCCUACGGGAGGCAGCAGUAGGGAAUCUUCCGCAAUGGACGAAAGUCUGACGGAGCAACGCCGCGUGAGUGAUGAAGGUUUUCGGAUCGUAAAGCUCUGUUGUUAGGGAAGAACAAGUACCGUUCGAAUAGGGCGGUACCUUGACGGUACCUAACCAGAAAGCCACGGCUAAUUACGUGCCAGCAGCCGCGGUAAUACGUAGGUGGCAAGCGUUGUCCGGAAUUAUUGGGCGUAAAGGGCUCGCAGGCGGUUUCUUAAGUCUGAUGUGAAAGCCCCCGGCUCAACCGGGGAGGGUCAUUGGAAACUGGGGAACUUGAGUGCAGAAGAGGAGAGUGGAAUUCCACGUGUAGCGGUGAAAUGCGUAGAGAUGUGGAGGAACACCAGUGGGGAAGGCGACUUUCUCUGGKCUGUWACUGACGCUGAGGAGCGAAAGCRUGGGGAGCGAACAGGAUUAGAUACCCUGGUAGUCCAUGCCGUAAACGUUGGGCACUAGGUGUGGGGGACAUUCCACGUUCUCCGCGCCGUAGCUAACGCAUUAAGUGCCCCGCCUGGGGAGUACGGCCGCAAGGCUAAAACUCAAAGGAAUUGACGGGGGCCCGCACAAGCGGCGGAGCAUGCGGAUUAAUUCGAUGCAACGCGAAGAACCUUACCAAGGCUUGACAUCCACCGGACCGCACUGGAGACAGUGCUUCCCUUCGGGGCUGGUGGACAGGUGGUGCAUGGUUGUCGUCAGCUCGUGUCGUGAGAUGUUGGGUUAAGUCCCGCAACGAGCGCAACCCUCGUUCUAUGUUGCCAGCACGUGAUGGUGGGGACUCAUAGGAGACUGCCGGGGUCAACUCGGAGGAAGGUGGGGAUGACGUCAGAUCAUCAUGCCCCUUAUGUCUUGGGCUUCACGCAUGCUACAAAUGGCCGGUACAAAGGGUUGCGAUACUGUGAGGUGGAGCUAAUCCCAAAAAGCCGGUCUCAGUUCGGAUUGAGGUCUGCAACUCGACCUCAUGAAGUCGAGUCGCUAGUAAUCGCAGAAUCAGCAACGCUGCGGUGAAUAGCGUUCCCGGGCCUUGCACACACCCGCCCGUCACA